GUAUCUCAUAGUGAAAAUCAGAGAUUAAUUGGCUCACAAAAUCAUAAACAAUUUAUGGUUGCCACCCAAAAGGAAUGGGGAUGAGAUAAGGACUUGUUUGAUUUGAAUUUCAAACUCCCUUUGAAUUUCAAAUCAAACGCCACUUAACCCAUCCAUAUCCAGAUGAAAGAGGAGGCUGAACAAGCUUUUUGGCAUGAGAAAUAAAUCAAGAAGUCUUCCUUUUGUUGCACAUAUUAGAGGCUUUC
rnacentral:lncRNA from 1 species